GUGUGUGCACUUUGGGAGUUAUUUGAGACUUUUGUAAUUGUGUUUUGUCUGUCUUUGAAGGGCACAGAGUUUGGUGGAUAUAUCCAGGUAAUAUUUGUUUCAAGGUGACUUGAAGAACAGCAAUCCAAAUAUUAUUUUCCAAAUUUCUGAAGAGUAUUUCCAUAGAUGCCAGCAUGAUGAAUGUCAUAUGGAAAGAAUGGAUAUCUGUAGAGAUGUGGACCUAAUUUGCUGCUAUUAUUCCCAGCAACCUAGAAGUUCAUUUAUGUUAUUGUAGAAAAUACUCU
rnacentral:lncRNA from 1 species